rnacentral:tRNA from 1 species
UGCUCUUCUAGUAUAUUAAUUACAAUUGACUUCCAAUCUCUAAAAUCUGGUGUAACUCCAGAGAUGAGCAA